GACGAACGCUAGCUACAGGCUUAACACAUGCAAGUCGAGGGCAGCGCAGUGUAGCAAUACAUGGGCGGCGACCGGCGCACGGGUGCGUAACGCGUAUCCAACCUUCCCGUUACUCAGGGAUAGCCUUCCGAAAGGGAGAUUAAUACCUGAUGGUGUUCAAAUUCCGCAUGUUAUUUGAACUAAAGAUUUAUCGGUAACGGAUGGGGAUGCGUGACAUUAGGUAGAUGGCGGGGUAACGGCCCACCAUGCCUACGAUGUCUAGGGGUUCUGAGAGGAAGGUCCCCCACACUGGAACUGAGACACGGUCCAGACUCCUACGGGAGGCAGCAGUGAGGAAUAUUGGUCAAUGGUCGGAAGACUGAACCAGCCAUGCCGCGUGAAGGUCACGGCCCUAUGGGUCUUAAACUUCUUUUGUAAGGGAGCAAUAAGGUUCACGUGUGGACUGAUGAGAGUACCUUACGAAUAAGCAUCGGCUAACUCCGUG
rnacentral:rRNA from 1 species